GUUAGCGUAGCUUAAAAUAAAGCAAAGCACUGAAAAUGCUUAGAUGGACUUCAUAGCCCCGCAAACA
rnacentral:tRNA from 4 species